rnacentral:tRNA from 1 species
AAGCGAUCCUGUGGUGGCGGCGAAGACCGUACUCCCGCUGGUGCUGGGGCUGUUGGCCGUGGUGCUGACGCUGCGCUCCGUCCGCCCCGGAGCAUCGCUUG